UACAGAGGUCCCAAGCGUUUGUUCGGAUUCACUGGGCGUAAAGGGUGCGUAGGUGGUGAGGUAAGUCGGAUGUGAAAUCUCCGAGCUCAACUCGGAAAUGGCAUUGGAAACUACCUUGCUCGAGGGUUGGAGGGGGGGACUGGAAUGCUUGGUGUAGCAGUGAAAUGCGUAGAUAUCAAGCGGAACACCAGCGGCGAAGGCGGCAAACUGGAUAGGCACUGACACUCAACAACGAAAGCGUGGGGAGCAAACAGG
rnacentral:rRNA from 1 species